ensembl:lncRNA
UCUCACUAACUUGUGGCACUUCCGUAGGGAACACGUCUUUUUUUCCUCCUAAGUGGAAGGAUCCCUAAUACAGGAAGAGACUCCGGGACCAUGGCGCACGGUAUGUGUUUGUAUACGUGGCUCCCAGCGGAGGCCUGCGAACCUGGCGCCUGUCGGGGGAAGGCAGCGGCGUAGGGAAUGCCUUAUCUCAGGCACGGAGUCGCAGCCAACAGGAAAUGAUGAAAUGUGCUGGGAGAAUUCGGCGGGGAGCCCGAGGUCAGACCGACGGGCUGGGUCGGAAGGAGGCAGGUGCGGGAGCUGGCUGCUCAGCAGAGUUAGGCGGUUGAAGUGCCUUUGACAGGAAAACGUGAGUGUGCUCUUGAGAACUUGCAUUUCCUUUAAAGGGGACCUUUCGAAAGUAGGGUUUUCACUGAUUUUUUUUUCCCCUAAAGUGAUUGAUUUAACAGAGAUCUCACCUUUUAAGGACACCUAGUGUUAGAGUUUCUUCACGGAAAUGUUCACCCAAUUCAAUAUUAACUGAACGGGGUGGAGUGUUUUAUCCAGAAUGCUUUGAGAAAAUGUUAGAGUAUUUGUUUUAUUUUCUUGGUGAAUACAUUUUGACCUACAUAAGUGAAGGACUGUGCUUUAUAAUUGCUCCUCUGUUUUUAGAACAUAUGUGCAUGCUUCAUUUCAAGAUAGAUGGAAUAAAUGAAAAACUUUGGCAUGUUUUAGACUCACUUGCAUACCUCUGGCUGUAUUUUUUCCUUACUGUGUAGCUAAAUGAAUUUCUUGAAUUAACUGUUAAUAGAGGGUUGGUGUUUUCCCCCUCCUGUCAGGCAUUAUGCUUAUUACAUGCUGCCGUUUCCUUUCUGAACAGCCAAAUUCAAUCUACGAACACAUAACUGGGGCUUGUGAGAGAAAAUGAACAAAUUAGCUUUUCCAGUCGCCUGUAAUUGCUAUUUCUGACUCUUCCAGAAUCCCAGAAUUAGCAUGCAGCUUGCUCCAAGACCCCCUCCAUCUUUCUCCUCAGUCAGUUCCUUUUUAUUUCUUUUCUCAGCUGGACCCUGUGCCCUUGUCCCUGUCUGACUGCUGUCACCGGACACUUUGUUUUCAUUUUUAUUGGAUAGCAAAAUGUAAAAGGUUUAUUAUUUCAAUAACUGAGCAGCUUUACGUACAUAUUUCAUUGUUUCUUACCUUGGAAGUUGUAUUCUGGAACUGAAAAAUCACGCCCCCCCCCCCCCUUACUUCCACUGUCUUGUAAUUCUAAGUGGAAAAUUUUAAAAAGGAAAUCCUGAUAACCCGAUUCAUUACUAGGUGAGUAUAUUUAUUGGGUUACCUAUUGCUUUGAAUGUCAGAAAAGCAGCGUCCCCUUGCUGUUCUCCAGAAAGCGCCAUGCUGGUACAGUCUGUGCCACCUAGAGAAGCAUAGUUUCUUGUUAGGUUGUUUCCUAGUAUGAUGCGUGUAUUUCUGACACUUUCAGGGUUGCCUAGUCCCUCUAUUCUAGAAAUCCCCUCUGUCUAAUUUUUCUCUCAGACCUUGGUCAGGUUUGUCCUGGCUUUUAUAAUUCAGAGUAUGUCCACAAAUCCCUUCCUUCUUCAUGAUAAGAUAUCUAACCUAAUUCUAGGUGAACAUUAAUGCUGUAUUUAUGAAAAUAAUACAGAUUCAAAUUGAAUCAUGUCUUGAAAAGGCCUGAGAUGUAUACCAGUAGUAAAAAUUAAGUCUCCCCACCCUUUUUUCCGUUUCUUUUUAUACAUUUGUGAGUCUUAUAUUUUGCUCAGCCACGUAAUUCUUUUGUUUAUGUGGUGGCAUAAUUUAAACGGUGGGAAUAUGAUUUUUAGAAUUGUAAUGGUGCUUGGUGUCAUUAUAGUUGGGCCCAUUCAUUUUUUUUUUAAUUGAAGUACAGUGGAUUUACAAUUUUGUGUUAGUUUCAGGUUUAUAGAAAAGCGAUUCAGUUAUACAUGUAUAUAUGUGUGUGUGUGUGUGUAACCUUUUUCAGAUUCUUUUCCAUUUUUUUAAAAAAUUAAGGCCAAGAGGUCAAAUACCUUGCUUACUUGUUCAAGGUCACAUGGCUAACUGGUGGCUGAGGGAGUCUAGAACUCAGGUCUCCUGACUUCUGGGCCUUUCCUUUAUCUGCUUUCUCCACGUAUUAUCUCAAGAUUAGUAGGACUUGGCCAAGACUGGCUUUUUUCUUCUAACGAGUCCAUUUUCAUUUGUUUCAUUUUCAAAUACUCAGAGUUUAUUCAGUAAUUACCUAAGCAAGUACCAGUUGGCAUAGGUGUGCAGUGAAUUACCUCAAGCACAAAGAGCAUUGACCUUUCUCCCUCUGAGAGAGAUUUUUCUUAAAACCAAAGAGUUCUCUAUUUAAUAAAGUUUUUCUUGCUUCUCCCCUAAACUAAGUCUCACUCAGUUGUUACUGUUAUAAGAAAACCUCAAUAUAUUAUCUGCUAGAUGAGAAAUCCAAACUCAAUAAAAUCAUAAC